rnacentral:misc_RNA from 1 species
GUAAAUAAGUAAAUAUAUGUGAAUAUGGCGCUAUAUCCAAGCACUCGAAUUUCUCUCAAGUUCAAUGAUAUCGAUAAUUAUCAAUGUUGGUUUCUCGUGGAUCAUCAGAAAAUGCCUUGUGUGAAUCACUUACAACAACAGAUAAAUAGCAGGUUUUAUAAUAACGUUAAAGGGAAAAUUAUUCUCACGUUAAAAGGAAGUUUAAUACCGCCAUGGGAAUCGUCUUUAAUUCUUCGUGAUGAUGAUCAGAUAGUUGUUCAAAAGGAAGAUGGUAAUACUGAAGUAAAAUGUUUUGCGAAAAAAAAGGGAAAGAAGAAAUUAAACACUUCAUUGAAAAAUGAUUCUGUCAUUGAAAUUGAUACAAAAGCAAAUGACAUCAUAUUUAUUUCUGAAAACAAGGGUAACCUUUUGGACAAUUCCAAGAAAGAAUAUUCUACGAAAAAGAAAGAUAAAACAAAGAAAAGAAAAUAUUUAGAUGUAAAAGAAAAGCAAGAAGAAGAAUAUUUGGAAGAAACAGAAAAAAUUGAAGAACUUUCUGAAAAAAGAGAAAAGAAAAAGAAGAAAGAAUGUGCAAAGAAAAAGGAAAAGGUUAAAGCACAUUUAAGGGAAAAGGAAAAGGAACAUGUAGAAAAGAAAGAACAUACAAUGAAAAGGAGAAGGAAGGAAAUAGAGGUGUAUGAGGAAGAGUCACCAUUGUUGAGUGUUGAAUCCAAAAAGAAGAAAAAGAGAAAAUCUGAAGCAUGUGAUUAUGUACCUGUUGUAAAACUGGAUUUUGAGAAUAGUCCCGAAGAAUUAGUUGAAAGAGACCAGAAAAGACACGGGAAAAAAAUUCAAAAGCUUCAUGAAUUAUGUAAAAAUCAAAGUACUGACUGUGAUCAACAUAAAGAAAUUGUCAUUGAUGAUGAUGACGAUGAGGAGGAGGAGGAGGGAGCAGAGGAGUAUAAUAAUAAUAUCAAAGGCAAUAAUUCUGACUUAAACAAAGAAAUUAUUAUUGAUGAUGAUGAUGAGGAGGAAGAGGAGGACAAGCCAAAUAUUAGUAGUGACAACAGAGAUCUGGAAAAUAACAAUAUUAAAAUUACACCUGUUGUAUCUCUUUCUGAAAUUCCAGACAAUCAAGCGACACUGCAAAAUAGUGAUUUAUGCGAAAAACCUAAGUCUUCUCAAAAGGAAGAGAUUUCUCUUUCAACAAUUUCACCAAUUUCAACAACACACACAAAAAAGAAUUCUGAUAUAAUUGUUAAUUCCAGUAAGAAAAAUAUUCCUGUGAAAGAAGCAGUUGAAGUUUUUGGUAUUUCAAAUGAAAAUCUGACAGCAAUUUGUAAAGCAGUUGAAAAGGGGGAAUCCCUUACACUAAGUGGGAGCAAAGUAAAAAGAAUUGAACUUUGUCCCAGUGUGAAUGAGAAUGUUUUUAACAUGAACAACAUUGUCAGAAAUGAAAAACUUCUCAUAAAUAAAAUUACUGAAAAAAAUGGCAGCAAACCCCACAGAAGAAGGCCUAGAAAGCGCCGGCAUGGCCCAAGUUUUGCUUGUGCUCCUUUCAUUCAAGCAAUGAGCUCACAUUCUGAAGGUGAUGCUUCUUCAUUGAAUUCCACACCUAAAACAUAUGUACCACAACACUCAAACAGUGUUUAUUCUUCUCGAAAUAAUUCUGACAAGCAUAUCCAUUUUGACUCAGAAGAUGAGGCUGAAGAAACUGCUAGCAACAUCACCUCAGCUUGUGAUGAAUUGGAACCAAGCCAUUCUACACCAAUACCUGUCGACUCUUUGCAAAAAGACAAUCAUAAAAUUCAGUUACCCAAUGUGGAAAACUCAUUAGUUUCUGAAACCUCUGAACCUCAAUCAAAUGUGGACAAUUGGUCGACAUUUUCUGUUCGAAAUGCCCUGCGAAAGAACCCUGGCGUAUACCAACGAGGAGUUGGUCUUGUUAAAUCAUUUGAAAUGUCAUCCUCAACUGCCAUUAUUCAACAAGAUAAACAAUUACAAACUACAUUCUGAAAAAAAAAAAAAUUUUAAUAAAAGAAUCAAGCCCAACUCAGCUCAUCUGUUUCGAAACCUAACUAUGAUGGUUUCCCUCCAUUAACUGGAAUCCCACGUGUAGAUGACAGAAUUGCUUUUAAGAGACUGGAAAUUGGCCUUGAUUAUAGUCCUGUCAUAUCUGAUUAUAGA